rnacentral:lncRNA from 1 species
GCAUGUGUAUUUUUACCUUACCUAAAUCCAACCUAUAAGGUUUAUUCUUCAGUUAAUGCCAAUGUUCUUGUUUCUCAGCAUGAUGGCUUAUCUGAUGUUACGUUGUAUUUUCUUUUUCAACUACAGUAUGCAACAGAUUUACCACAUCUUGUGUCAAGUUACUCCAGAGAUCCUUUAAAUCUGAAGUUAAAAUCACAUCUUUUCAACAUAGAUGGGAGAAAGGAGGCACAGAGCAGAUCAAUGAAUUGUCCCAAAAGCAAGCAGGAAGAGUGUGGUUCAGUCAAAUUCUCACAGGACGGGGGGUAG